GAUGAACGCUGGCGGCGUGCCUAAUACAUGCAAGUCGAGCGAAUGGAUUAAGAGCUUGCUCUUAUGAAGUUAGCGGCGGACGGGUGAGUAACACGUGGGUAACCUGCCCAUAAGACUGGGAUAACUCCGGGAAACCGGGGCUAAUACCGGAUAACAUUUUGAACCGCAUGGUUCGAAAUUGAAAGGCGGCUUCGGCUGUCACUUAUGGAUGGACCCGCGUCGCAUUAGCUAGUUGGUGAGGUAACGGCUCACCAAGGCAACGAUGCGUAGCCGACCUGAGAGGGUGAUCGGCCACACUGGGACUGAGACACGGCCCAGACUCCUACGGGAGGCAGCAGUAGGGAAUCUUCCGCAACGAACGAAAGUCUGACGGAGCAACGCCGCGUGAGUGAUGAAGGCUUUCGGGUCGUAAAACUCUGUUGUUAGGGAAGAACAAGUGCUAGUUGAAUAAGCUGGCACCUUGACGGUACCUAACCAGAAAGCCACGGCUAACUACGUGCCAGCCGCCGUAAUAC
rnacentral:rRNA from 1 species